UUUUAAUAUUCAGCGGGAAAUAUCCGGCACAAAAUCUGGAGCGGCCUGAUUGGGGAAGUACCUCGACCUUACAGAAUAUCACAGCUAAAUAAUACUUUCAGGCAGUGUUGUAUUUC